CAGGCAAGUUGGUGGUCAGGGCCACACCCACACCCUCCUGGUGCCUCUGCUGCCGCGCCGAUAUCUCCUGCAUGGUCAGGCAGUGCCAACUCCAGCUGUACGGGCAUGUGGCACGCUGCCCACCCUGCUCACCGGGCUGUUUCAGAGUGGAGGAGGCUGAGGGAAUGCCCACGAAGCUCACAGAUUCCGCGUCUCCAUGGACCCUGCCGCAAGAGACUUCCAGCGCUGGGCCCGGCCGCUGCAAGCCUUGUUGGGUCAGCAUGUGGGAAGUCACCGAGAUGGAGCUUGAGCCGGUCGGCCUCAACCAUGAGGGUGCGCAUGGAUCUGUAGCGGCAGCCUGGUGUAAUUAUGUACAUCGGCUGGCCGUGAGCCUUGCCAGGGAGUGCUGGGCGGCCUGGUGCCCCGGCUGAAGGCAAGCGGCCUCUCUGAGACACCCAAAGACUGGCUGACAGAAGGUCUUGUGCUGGUACUGGUGUCUGAAGGCUGUGCAGUGGUGCAGGCACAGGCUCAGAGUGCCCAGGUGGAGCAAGGCUCUGAUGCUGGUUGCCGCCUGUCUGGGAGCAGACUCACAGAGGCCGGCGCCCUCAGCAGUGACGAGGAGUCUCCCUGAAAGCUCUCCCUCAAGGCACAGCAGCAGGCCACCGUCGCCCUUGUCAUCGGGAGCACCGAGAGUAUCCCGAGGAACACUUCAAUGUCCAGGUGUGAGGAUGUCAAGCCACCACAAGCCAGGAGGGAAGUGGCUGCUAGGGCCAAGACAGCAGGUGGAGAGGGACCAUUAAGAAACAUGAUCCCGCUGCUACCACCACCGGGUUCAGCCUCACCUCUUCACCCCUGGAUGAAGGAGAUGUUUCUUGGCGGCCAAACUCAGGAGACUCACCAGAAAAGACCAUUCACCCGUGCCUUAUAUUGUGGGUGAGGAGAGCAGCCUGGACCAAGAAUCAAGAACUGGAAUGAAGAACCAAUUAAUUAAGGCUCUGAGACUGACUGAACUCCCUUGAAGUAAAAAUGAGGUGCCUGGCCAAGCUGCUGGGUCCGUGUGACCACCGCAGGGACGCUGGAGGAGCCCGGUGCUGCCUGCCUGGGGCCCACACCCUCCUCAGCAUCUCCCUGCCUUGUUACACUCAAUGACAAUAGGUGUGUGUUGAUGCUGGGACGAAGAAGAGGAGGAGGAGGAGGAAGAUGAUGAUGAUAGAGGCAACAUGAAGACAAGAAGAAGAAGAGGAGGAGGAGGAAGAUGAUGAUGAUAGAGGCAACAUGAAGAAAAGAAGAAGAAGAGGAGGAGGAGGAAGAUGAUGAUGAUAGAGGCAACAUGAAUAAAAGAAGAAGAAGAGGAGGAGGAGGAAGAUGAUGAUGAUAGAGGCAACAUGAAGAAAAGAAGAAUAAGAGGAGGAGGAGGAAGAUGAUGAUGAUAGAGGCAACAUGAAGACAAGAAGAAGAAGAGGAGGAGGAGGAAGAUGAUGAUGAUAGAGGCAACAUGAAGAAAAGAAGAAGAGGAGGAGGAGGAGGAAGAAUGGAAGAAGAAGAACAAGAGGAGGAGGAGGAAGAAGAGAAGAAGAAACAAACACACACACAGGCACAUAAGACAAACGCCUAUUUUUUUUAUAUUAUCCAUUUUUAUUAGUCCAUAUAACAUACAUUAUAUACAUAUACAUACAAUCAUAUUAUACAACAUAUGCAUAAUUCUAUACAUUUGAUCACAGAGAGUGAGAGACUUGAGAAAGAGAGCCCAUCUCUCUCUCUCUCUCUCUCUCUCUCUCUCUCUCUCUCUCUCUCUCUCUCUCUCUCUCUCUCUCUCUCUCUCUCUCCACAGCUCACAGGACCCCACGGAUGUACCCCCCAUGGUAUGUUGACAA